rnacentral:ncRNA from 1 species
AGAUGAGCCUUAAAACCCUUUAAACACAUAGGCUUGGUCCUGACCUUAAAAUCGAUUCUUACUUAACUUACACAUGCAAGUUUCCGCACCCCCGUGAAGACGCCCUAAGAUCCCUUCCGGAGUUAGGAGCUGGUAUCAGGCGCAAAGAACUGCCCAAAACACCUAGCCAUGCCACACCCACAAGGGUUAACAGCAGUGAUUAACAUUAAACAUAAACGACAGUUUGAUUUAGUUAAAGUAAAAAGAGCCGGCAAAUCUAGUGCCAGCCGCCGCGGUUACACCAUGUGGCUCAAGUUGAUUUCGCCGGCGUAAAGCGUGACAAAAGCCUCUAACACUAUUAGGACUAAAACCGAAUUAAGCCGUGACAUGCUUGUCCGCUAAAAAAUUAUAACGAAAGUUAUCCUAAUCCAAUUAACUUGAACUCACGAUAGCUAAGACCYAAACUGGGAUUAGAUACCCCACUAUGCUUAGCCUUAAACUUUAACUCACACCUCCCCACGCCAGGGUACUACGAGCAACGCUUAAAACCCAAAGGACUUGACGGUACCCCACAUCCACCUAGAGGAGCCUGUCCUAUAAUUGAUAACCCCCGCUAAACCUUACCACUAUUAGUCUAUCAGCUUGUAUACUUCCGUCUUCAGCUUACCCCGUGAGCGCAAUUCAGUGAGCUUAAUGCCCCUCCACCAAUACGUCAGGUCAAAGUGCAGCUAAUAUAGUGGGCAGAGAUGGGCUACACUCUCUAACCUAGAGGAUACGAAAGACUAUGCUGAAACCAUACCUAAAGGCGGAUUUAGAAGUAAAAAGAAAAUAAAGAGUUCUUUUUAACCUGGCCCUGGGGUGUGUACACACCGCCCGUCACCCUCA